AGCCACGCAAUGUGCACAGAGCGAACUAUUCUUUCGCCUUUUACUAAAGAAUACCGUGUGCACGUUGCAUUUAGUGGCAUACGCUAAUUUUUGAAAGAGCCCUUCUUAAUUGGAGUGG